UACGGAGGGUGCAAGCGUUAUCCGGAUUUACUGGGUUUAAAGGGUGCGUAGGUGGGUAGGAAAGUCAGUGGUGAAAUCUUCGGGCUCAACCCGGAAACUGCCAUUGAGUACUAUUGGUCUUGAAUGUUGUUGAGGUGGGCGGAACGGGUCAGUGUAGCGGUGAAAUGCAUAGAUAUGACCCGGAACACCGAUUGCGAAGGCAGCCCACUAAGCAACGAUUGACGCUGAG
rnacentral:rRNA from 1 species